GGGCAGGGCCAAAAUUGGGAGGAGAGAGGACCGGUGCACGCGCUGAGGAAUCCAUGUGCCAGUCUGCAGGUCCGGAUGCCCAGGCGACCAAGACUGUCUGAAGAGCUACGAGGCUGUCCUCAGGAGACACCAUGCGUCGUGUGUUUUUGAUUAAUUACCCAUUCUCCAUA